GUAUUUCUCUCUCACAUUGGAUAAGAAUAGGAUUGAACAUUCAACUAUUAAAGAAAACGGAUUUCAAGCGCCAUAAUAAUCUGUCAAAGAAAAUAAGAUGUGUGACCUCUGGAAGGACAGAGCUGUUUGGAAACCAAAUGCAUGCAGCUGGAUCUCUGAGACUGAAUGUACUGCAGCACAUCUGGAUGAUACAAAGCAAUCCAGGGCCUCCAUUACGGUCCUUGAUCUGUAUUUAAUUCAUUUAUUUCUGAUAGCCUGACUGAUUGUGAAAUAUUGAUCAGUGUUGAAUCAAUAACUGUGGGUAACUGGUAGGAAAAUAAACAACUUGCCGUCUUCUUAAACUCACUAAGCUUUGAGUUUCAGGUAUCCAUGUGAUCACCAGAGUAUUGAUUGUCUACAUAUGAGGGUCCUUGACUGAGUUUCCAUAGGGUUAAGAAUUCAACAUACCACCAUUAAACACAGUCAAGGGCUUUUCACACUUGAAAUGGUCUCUUCUUCAUUUCAGUUCAUGUGUUUUAUGUCACCUGUGACCUUUCACUCCAGUUUUUUAACCCUGAUACCCAAAUACAGGUCCUUUAUCUUGGUUUAAGGAAGGUGUUUCAUUGCUAUAUGUUCUUAGUUCCCCUUUGUUGACCAAUUAAAUGUACGAGCUGUCGACAGAAUAUGGGAUAAGUCUGACUCAGAUGAGAUUACACAGGACUGGUCUGUAUCGUUUACCACUCUGUCAACAGCUUGGUACUUCAUGUUUACUGGGGGACAAAUCUAUGUCAAAGGUCACAGGACCCUCUGUUGACCUGUUGAACAGAUGGAAGCUUUUAGUUUCCCAGGCUGUCAGGGAUCCCUCUCCAAGUGUGGGAAAGACUUGAGUCUUCACAUUACAACAUGGCUCUUAAACACACACACACACACACACACACAUUUUACCACCCCUAAGGAAGGAAGCAUUAUGCCUUGGUGAGGCACUGAACUUAGUAAACAAAUUACAGUAAAUUAAAAGUUCUAAAAUAAAUUGGUGAUAUAUUAAAAUUCAUUGGCAAAACUGUAAGUGCUGUACAUUUGUAAAAUUGAUUUCUCCUAUAUUUAGUCAGUAUAUGCGGAUGCUUCACUUCAGUAAAAUUUUAAUUGUUUUUUUAUUUAUUAAUAUAAUUAGAUAUAUGUUUCAUUAAUUUAAGAGCAAGUAGUAUAAUAAUAAUAAUAAUCUACCUAGUUCCAUCAAAGUUUUGUAAGGUCUUCCAUUUUAAUUUGACCUUUGAACUCAUAACGGUGACCUCUGACCCGGAGAGAGCAGACCUGUCCAGACUCUGGAGGAUGGAAUUAAUAAGAUCAUUCAGUGAAUUACAUAAAACGAAGAGUGGGACAGGUAGAAAUGGAUCCAUCAUCUCAGUCAUGGCCAUUGUUUUAGUAUGAUGACAGGACUUUGCCUUUUUGAGCUAUAGUGGUCAUCCAAUGAGAAUUGAUCUGAAUAGAAUCAAUUACUUGGUGAAAUUGUUCCAGGAUCUUUAUAUUAAUAAACGAAUGGGGCUUUGAGCUCCAGAUUUCUUUGAAAAAGAAUAUAUGCUUUACCUUUUACAUCUGAAUGACAGAGUUUGUGCUGUUAUAUAUGGGGAAAUUAAAAUACUGUCAUUGGAAAUGACAUGUGUAGUGUCCAUAUUUCACCUCCGUGGACCAUGCAAUAGUUAUGUAUUAUUUACUACUAUUAUAUUUAUCAUGAACAAUUAAAUGUAUUAUUAUUUUAGCAUGUCUCUAACAGUUGUCUUUAAA